rnacentral:lncRNA from 1 species
GGGACUUAGAACAAGAAAAGGCUCUGAAACAGAUCCAAGAUGUUGUUUGAGCCAUGCAACUAGAAGAUCUCAUAGAACUAAAGUUAUCUAAUUUACAGAAAAGGUUUUACGUGAUGUCUAUUGUACAGAUUCAUAUGAAAACCAUAGUUCAAACUCCAAGGUUUAAGAAGUAAGAAAGAUCAUGUCAUUUGCAACAAACAUGCAUGCAUAUUUGAAAAGCAACUGUAAGUAUGCUAUUGGACAUUGGUAAAGAUUGAAUAUCUGACCAUGGCAUAUCAAGAAACCGUGGAAUGAGUACUGCUUAUCAAGAUCUGGGUGUGAGAAGACUUAAAAAGUCAGAUAGUCAGUGAGAACCAGCUAGAAUCCAUGGCUGUGCUAAUGGUCUAUCAAGAUAUCCUGAGUUUCCAGUAGAGAUGUUUCAGCCAUAACACGGGCCUGGUAGACAAAUAACUAGGAGACCAUGUCCCUUGGCAUCAGUAUUGAUCUUCAAUAAUUUGUCCUUGAUAUUGAGAGAAGAGGAUCAAACUAUUUGAACAGGAUUGCUGUACUUCAAUUCAACAUGUAAAGUGAAAAUGCAGACCCAGUUGACUAUAUUUCACUCAUUUGGGUGGAAGAAGCAGAAGAAGUUUAUUAACAAAGAAGGAGAAUAACAAAAGAAAUAUAAGAUGAAAAGAAAAGCAAAAAGAAAGAAAACUAAAGAAAAAGCAAAAGAAAGAAUACUAAAUCUGAAAUACAUUUUAGUCCCCA